rnacentral:rRNA from 1 species
CGACCUGCCCAGUGACAACUGUUAAACGGCCGCGGUAUCCUAACCGUGCAAAGGUAGCAUAAUCACUUGUUCUUUAAAUCAGGACUAGUAUCAACGGCCUCACGAGAGCUAUUCUGUCUCCCCCCUUCAAUCAGUGAAACUGAUCUCCUCAUGAAGAAGCGAGGAUAUAAAUAUAAGACGAGAAGACCCCAUGAAGCUUUAAACUCGCACCACUGUCUAACACCUACACCAAAAUAAACCAGACAACAUGGUAGCCAGUCUUUCGGCUGGGGCGACCACGGAGAAAAACAAAACCUCCAUGAUGUAAGGACACCCCCUAAUUUAAGAACCACUACUCUAAAAAUCAACAAAUUGACAUAAAUUGACCCAAACUUUUGAUCAACGAACCAAGUUACUCUGGGGAUAACAGCGCAAUCCAUUUCGAGAGACCCCAUCAACAAAUGGGCUUACGACCUCGAUG